GGCACACGGUUAUGCUUUUAGCGUGCAAAAAUACCGUGAGAAUUAUUGUUUCUAGUUACAUAUAAUUAAGAUUUACAAUGAAAUAUAUUAGAUGAAAAUGAUAUGGAGCUGCAACGACACUAGUGAAAUAGUAAAGGUCUACUUUUACUAAUUAUUGUUUGGGCAAAAGGGACUUAAUACUACAGGAAUAUGAAUUUAUUAAAUAAUUUCCAUUAAUAUGUAUAGCUUCUUAACUUUAAAAUAACCAGCUACUAUAGUGAAGAUAAAGUAGGUAUAUUUUCCGAUCUUAAUAAAAAUCAACACUAAUUUGCUUAUAUAAUGUUCUUAGUUAUUGCAAGAUAAAAAAGAAAAGUAAAAUCCAUUGCCACAAGCAUUUUGAUUUUUCUAUGAUUUAAUUUAUGAUUGCACGCUACAUAGAUAUAUAUAUAUAUAUAUAUAUAUAUUGUACUCAUCUAAUAUCGAAGUAACCACAGAUUAAUUACAAGGAAAAUUUAUGAUGGAGCAACAGGAAAGUACAGAAGGA